rnacentral:rRNA from 1 species
AGAGAGCUAGCUUGUGGCUUAAACGUGUAAUAUAAACGAUACAUGACAACAUGUUCAACUCUAAUAAUAAAUUAUGUGUAAUUUUUUUUAUCUUUAAAAUUGUAGAAGUAGAGAUCGUCUAAACAAUAAACAAUAAUAAAAUAAAAAAGUAAAAACAAACGAAGCGAAGUGAAAUAUCUUACUAACUUCAGGAAAACAAAUCAAAAGAGAUUCUUUAAGUAAUGUGAAUGAAAUAAGAAAAGUCUUAAACAAGUAAAUUGGAGUACAUAUCUGUUUGAAUAAAAGGGGAACCUUCCUCUAAGACUAAAUAUGAUAUAUAUGUGAUAGCGAAAAGUACUGUGAAGGAAAUGAUUGAAAUAGCAAUUUUAGAAGCAGCUCAAAAAAAGUUUAAAUAAACGAGUAGAGCGUACCUUUUGCAUAAUGGGUCAGCAAGUUAAUGUUUGAUGCGAGCAGUAUAAAAGUUUAGAAUUAAGAGUUGCUUUACAUAUUGCGUAGAUAAAACAAUUAUGAUAUAAUGAUGCAGUAUCAAAGAUUAGACCCGAAACUUAGUGAUUUUACUACAAUCAGGAAUAUAAAAGUCCGAACGGGUUAUCGUUGUAAAGAUAUCCGAAGAAUUGUGGUAAGUUAGUGAAAGACAAAACUGACUAAGAUAGCUGGUUUUCUGCGAAACCUAUCUAAGUAGGUAAUUUAAAUAGAAUAUCAGAAGGUACAGAAUUGUGAUCUCAUGCAACUAGUACUCAUUGUCCUGUUAAUUCAGGAGGUGGGAUAAAAUGCUUUUUGCGGACAUUGGGGGGUCGUGAAGACUCUAUCAGUGAGUAUUUGUUCUCGGAAGGACUAGAUAUGAAUAUUGAAUAAUCAGACAUAGUGCGAUUAGGUUGUAUGUCUAAAGGGAAACAGCCCAGAACAAGAGUUAAUAAGGUUCCAAAAUUAUUGUUAAGUGAAAUAAAGGGAGUAUUUAUUCUAAACAAUCAGGCAAUAGGCUUAGAGGCGGCCAUUUUCUGAAGAUCUCGUAACAGAGCACUGGUUUAAAGCAUAAUGUUUAUAAGGAUAAAAGCACCGAUCAUUUAACGGAUCUAAAUAAUAUACCGACACCUUGUCCAAAUAUAUUAAUGUAUUUAUACAUUACAUUGUAUAUGUGGGGUAGCAGAACAUUGGGGAAGUUUAUUAUUAUGUCUCUACAAGGCAUAAUAAAAUUUAUAAGGCAUAUUUUUAUUAAUUUACCUAAUUUUUAACAAGCCAAGCGAUAAUGCUGACAUGAGUAACGAUAAAGGGGAAUAAUACCCUCGCCUAAAGCUUAUGGCAUUUAAUUAAAGUUACGGCCUCUAAGUUUAUUAUAUAUUUAAUUAAGGCAAGUGAUCCUUUAUUUAUUCCCAAAAGGGGUAAACGAUGAGCAAAUCUAAGAUUUAUAGGAAAUAUCAUUUUUUAUUUUUAUUGUAUUCAUUUUCUUCUGUUUUCUUCUAUUUCUUCAUGAAUCGAUCAUGAAGAAAUCAUGAAGAAAUCAUGAAGAAAUCAUAAAUAAAGGUAGUGACAAAUGUUCUGGAAAACUGUAGAUCUCUUUGCUAAACAGUAAUAAACUAAAUAAGAUGACAUGUUUAGCAAAUGCUUUACCGUACCUAAAUACUAACACAAGUAAGCAAGUAGAGUAUACGAAGGCGUUCGAGUUAACAAUCAUUAAGGAACUCGGCAAAUUGACUCGCGUAACUUCGGGAGAAGGUGGGCCGUCCCUUUUGAUUAAUAUCAGAUAUGGGAUAGGAGGCACAGAAUGGUGUUGUACGACUGUUUAAUUAAAACAAAGCACGCUGCAAAGAAAUUAAUUCGAAGUAUUGGGUGUGAUGUCUGCCCGAUGGUGGCUGGUUAUCGGAUUUGCUUAGUUGACUAAAAUAAGCUAGGCUUUGAAGGAACCCCCUUUCAAUGGCGGCCUUACCUAUAAGGGUCCUAAGGUAGCGUAAUACCUUGGCCGUUAACUGCGGUCUUGCAUGAAUGGUGUAACGAUACAACAGCUGUCUCAAUGAUUGGCUCGGUGAAAUUGUAAUAACUGUGCAGAUACAGUUUACCUCUAGUUGGACGAGAAGACCCUAUGCAGCUUUACUGUUGCUAGUUACCGAAUAUGAUAAGAUGAGUUUAAAUAAGGUAAUUGCUAAGAUAUAAUUGAGACACCUUUACUUCAUUUAUCAUAUUAUAUAAACCUUACACACUAACUGGGAGGAGUUUUUUAUAGGAACAAUUGCUAGGUGGCAGUUUAUGCGGGGCACAGACCCCACAAAAAGUACCUGGGUGUAUCCAAAUUCAUUUUGUAAAAUUGCGGCAUGCAAUUAAAUAUGUACACACUUAUUUUAUCAAUAAUAAGAGUCCUACAUGUUUUUUAUUUUUAGUCUGAAGUUGGUCUUAUUUUAAUAUAUUUUUUAUAUUUUAUUGCCAAUUCAGUUACAUAUCUAUUUUAAGUUGGAACUUUUUUUUUAAUUUGAAGUAAGAUUUUCCCUAUUAAAGAAUAGAUGUAAUUAAAUUGUUCUUUAUUUGUUGUUAGAUGAAAUCUAACUACGUUAAAUAACCAUUUUUAUUGUUUACCAGUUUAUCAGAGAGAGUCAGAAAUACAGAAAAUAAGAGAAUACUGCUAAUCUAGGAACCAGAUAACACAUGUAGAAACCAGUUUUUUUUUUAGAUAUCUGUUUAAAUGAUAAUUAUUUUACUUAUCAAGUUUAACGGCUUAAUCUU